rnacentral:rRNA from 1 species
UACGUAGGGUGCAAGCGUUAAUCGGAAUUACUGGGCGUAAAGCGCGCGUAGGCGGCUGGAUAAGUCGAUUGUGAAAGCCUUGGGCUCAACCUGAGAAUUGCAGUCGAGACUGUUCGGCUAGAGUGUGGGAGAGGGUGGUGGAAUUCCCGGUGUAGCGGUGAAAUGCGUAGAUAUCGGGAGGAACAUCAGUGGCGAAGGCGACCACCUGGACCAACACUGACGCUGAGGUGCGAAAGCGUGGGUAGCAAACAGG